rnacentral:rRNA from 1 species
UGGGGAAUUUUGGACAAUGGGCGAAAGCCUGAUCCAGCCAUGCCGCGUGAGUGAAGAAGGCCUUCAGGUUGUAAAGCUCUUUUAGUCGGAAAGAAAGAGUUGCAAUGAAUAAUUGUGAUUUAUGACGGUACCGACAGAAAAAGCACCGGCUAACUACGUGCCAGCAGCCGCGGUAAUACGUAGGGUGCGAGCGUUAAUCGGAAUUACUGGGCGUAAAGGGUGCGCAGGCGGUCUUGCAAGUCAGAUGUGAAAGCCCCGGGCUUAACCUGGGAAUUGCGUUUGAAACUACAAGGCUAGAGUGCAGCAGAGGGGAGUGGAAUUCCAUGUGUAGCAGUGAAAUGCGUAGAGAUGUGGAAGAACACCGAUGGCGAAGGCAGCUCCCUGGGUUGACACUGACGCUCAUGCACGAAAGCGUGGGGAGCAAACA